rnacentral:lncRNA from 1 species
CACAAGCAAGGCUAGGGCGAGGAUGAAUGAGCAACUUGUCGUGGUGGAGGCCCAGAUGAAGGAAGAGCUGGCCCUGACGGAGGGGAGGAAACAAGAUGAGCUUGCCCAACAGGCUCGGGCCUUCGCCACUCGUGAGAUCGCCCUGACCCAAGAGCUGAGCUGCCUGCGCCAGUCAAAGAAAGAUACCAAGAGGCAGCUCUUCGAUAAAAGUCAAGAGGCUAUCCA